UAGGGAAUCUUCGGCAAUGGGGGCAACCCUGACCGAGCAACGCCGCGUGAGUGAAGUAGGUUUUCGGAUCGUAAAGCUCUGUUGUAAGAGAAGAACGUGUGUGAGAGUGGAAAGUUCACACAGUGACGGUAACUUACCAGAAAGGGACGGCUAACUACGUGCCAGCAGCCGCGGUAAUACGUAGGUCCCGAGCAUUGUCCGGAUUUAUUGGGCGUAAAGCGAGCGCAGGCGGUUUAAUAAGUCUGAAGUUAAAGGCAGUGGCUUAACCAUUGUUCGCUUUGGAAACUUUUAAACUUGAGUGCAGGAGGGGAGAGUGGAAUUCCAUGUGUAGCGGUGAAAUGCGUAGAUAUAUGGAGGAACACCGGUGGCGAAAGCGGCUCUCUGGUCUGUAACUGACGCUGAGGCUCGAAAGCGUGGGGAGCAAACAGG
rnacentral:rRNA from 1 species